GUAUAAAAUAAACAUCUAACCAAUCACUUUUCAUGCCUUAUUUAAUCCUUAAGGCAGUUCUUCGAGGUAGCUACAAUUACUACCCCUGUUUUAUGCACAAGUAAACAGAGAUUUAGAGACUCUGGUUCUGUUCUGGCAAGUACCUCUCCCAGUACAGUGUUGAGCAACAGGCUUGGAAAUGCUGGCUUUCUUAUCUUUCUUCUGAACUCACAGAAGAACCCCCAUUUUAAUCAUACACAUGGUGGCUGUGUGUUUUUGUAGAUAUGCGUUAUCAAGUUAGGAAAACUCCUCUCUAGUAUUCGUUUGCUCAAGAGCAUUUUUAUCACAAAGUCAUUUAAAGAGACAAAAGACAAGCCACAGUCAGUCUAGCAGACACGGGUAGGGUAACACUGCCACAAAGGACUAAUAGGCAGAACCUCACCCAAAAGGAGAUCAAAACCUCAAAACUGAGACUCAGUAAUUAACCGAAAGGAAUCCCCAAGCGCCAUGUGGUUAACAGCGAUACUCGACCACGGUGGCUUCAUUCCUAAAUGGCUCCAAACUCAGACAAACCGACUGUCCACCUAAUGUAGAGCAGCCCACGGAAAGCUUACACCGGUUUUGAACAGUGGGAAGAAUGAAAAGUUCUUGGGGUUUUGUGCGUUCUGGAGAAGAGAAGAGUGAUCCAUGUCUGUCCUGCGGUUUGUGGAGUGAGGCCCACGGGGACAGUCUCCAGGGGCUAAGUCACGACAAACAGCUCUCUCAAACCGCUACGACUCUUCCAUGAAAUGCGUAGAGUGACGAGGAAUUCGGGUUAAGCAGAGCUAACUUCUUCCAGGUUCUAAUGGUAGCAUUGGUUGCCCCUCAAAUAAUAAAAUGAUCUAUGUUCCUGCUUCCUUCCUCA